rnacentral:rRNA from 1 species
AUGGCUAUGGAUGCUUCGUGUUCGAGAAAGAACCCAACUCCGUUGGGCCAGGCGUAUUCAACUAGAGGCGGGUUUACAGCCUCGGCAACCACUCCUUGUUCCUCGGGCUCAAUAAUCCGAUCAUCAAACCAAUCAUCGAUCAUAGCACCGGCGAUGAUUACCAUGCUAUGCACCUUCCAUUCGCCAGGGGGGACUGUGUUUACACAUCAUACCAUGGGUUUCACGAAUCACCAUAUCCAGAGAUUCAUCGACACAGCUUGUUGCCAAAUAAUCUUUAUACCAUAUAACUGGAAUUACCGAUGCAAGUCGAAGAAGGAUUGGUCGGUGCUGCCGGCUGGCGUCAAGUUCGAUCCCAUGGAUCAGGAGCUGAUCGAGCACCUUGAGGCCAAAGUGAGCACGGCAUAUGCUACACCCAACCUGAGAAACUUCCAGCGCAAUUCCAGGGCAUUCAAAAGGGACACAUGGAUGCGUCGCAAGAUACAAUCGGAGUGCGGCAUGCACGCGAUGUGGCACAAGAGUGGCAAUACCUUGCCGGUGAUGGUCAACGGCCGGGAGACGGGCAGCAAAAAGUUUCUGAUGCUGCACACCAACAAGAACUUCGACCAGCAGAGGACCAACUGGGUGAUGCACCAGUACCACCUCGGGGACCUGGAACAAGAGAAGGAGCAGGAGCUGGUCCUCUGCAAGAUUUUCUACCAGACGAGCACUAGGGCCAGGAGUAAAAAGAUUAUAAGUCAGUUUGGUAUUGGUAGUUGUACUACCUUGUCGUCCUCAAGUUGGUCGAGCAAGUUUCAACUGGGCUGUAGACUGCCCAGGCUUGGUUUUGUUUUUAACAGGCCCAGCCCAUGA